UACGUAGGGAGCGAGCGUUGUCCGGAAUUACUGGGUGUAAAGGGAGCGCAGGCGGGAAGUCAAGUCCAGUGUCAAAACUAUCGGCUCAACCGGUAAGCGCGCUGGAAACUGGCAUUCUUGAGUGAAGUAGAGGCAGGCGGAAUUCCUAGUGUAGCGGUGAAAUGCGUAGAUAUUAGGAGGAACACCAGUGGCGAAGGCGGCCUGCUGGGCUUUUACUGACGCUGAGGCUCGAAAGUGUGGGGAGCAAACAGGAUUAGAUACCCUGGUAGUCCACACUGUAAACGAUGAUUACUAGGUGUGGGGGGACUGACCCCUUCCGUGCCGGAGUAAACACAAUAAGUAAUCCACCUGGGGAGUACGGCCGCAAGGUUGAA
rnacentral:rRNA from 1 species